rnacentral:snRNA from 1 species
GUGCUUGCUUCUGCAGCACAUAUACUAAAAUUGGAAGGAUACAGAAAAGAUUAGCAUGGCCCCUGUGCAAGGAUGACAUGCAAAUUCGUGAAGCCUUCCAUAAUUUU